GGUUGAGUAGUGUAAUGGUUAUCACUGCGGAUUCUGAUUCCGCCGAUCUGGGUUCGAUUCCCAGCUCGACCU
rnacentral:tRNA from 1 species